AACGAACGCUGGCGGCAUGCCUAACACAUGCAAGUCGAACGAGACCUUCGGGUCUAGUGGCGCACGGGUGGGUAACGCGUGGGAACCUGCACUUAGGUUCGGAAUAACUCACCGAAAGGGGUGCUAAUAACGGAGAAUGUCUUCGGACCAAAGAUUUCUCGCCUUUGGAUGGGCCCGCGUUGGAUUAGCUAGUUGGUAGGGUAAAAGCCUACCAAGGCGACGUUCCAUGGCUGGUCUGAGAGGAUGAUCAGCCACACUGGGACUGAGACACGGCCCAGACUGCUACGGGAGGCAGCAGUGGGGAAUAUUAGACAAUGGGCGAAAGCCUGAUCCAGCAAUGCCGCGUGAGUGAUGAAGGCCUUAGGGUUGUAAAGCUCUUUUACCCGGGAUGAUAAUGACAGUACCGGGAGAAUAAGCUCCGGCUAACUCCGUG
rnacentral:rRNA from 1 species